rnacentral:lncRNA from 1 species
UCCAUGCGCCUCAUCAUGCGGUACCUGUUCUUGACCUGUGGGGGCAUGUGAGACAGCAAGAGUGAGCUCACAUACGUUCAUAGCUCAACAAGUUGUGGGGAAUAAUGUGUAUGAACUCGCCAAAGAUGGGAGUUCAUGUGAAGUGUAAGGCUUACCAAAGAGGAUGGUUAGAGCUGAGCAUUGCUUUUAAAGUUGGUCAAAAUUUUAUUAGCAAUUACUAAGUAUAAGUGAAUACCAACCCAAUUAAGUAGUAGAAAAAAAGAAAUAACAACACCUGCGAUGCAAUGCAUAUGACAAAUUGAAUUUAGUUCCAUACAUUAAUCAUGUGAGGGUCCGAGCUGCUCAUGACCGUGAGCAUGGCUAGUAUACCAGUUUUACACUCUGCAGAGGUUGCACAUCUUUACCCACAAGUCAUGUUACCCAUCUGCCAAGGGAUCACGACUUCCCAUACACCUCUACCGAGGAGGCGAGGCAGGGUAAAAAGAAGUGAUCAAGGGCACAACUUGCCUGGGACUUGAGAUUCCAGGUACCAGGAUGAUCUUCAGAUUCUCAUGACCUCGCGCUAGUCGUAGCGAUACAAACAAACAUGGUAUAGGCAAAAUUAACAUCAUACCAAACAUGAGUACAAACUAUAUAAUAAUAAUGUACGCGUUGCUACGAGAUCGUUGGUUCGAGAAUCACUACAAUCAGAGUCAUGGUUGAAAAGGUAUGGCUUUCAGAAGACCCAUGCAGUUUAAGGAGUUAAAACUAGACCUUAUGUUGAUUUAAUAGAUCAUGUGAGAAAAUAAUCUAAAUAAAUAAUUAAUUCAACUUUAAGUUAAAUUAUAAUAUAAUUAGGGAUCAUAUUCUAGCCAAACUAUAAUUAUAAACAGAUUAACUUUGAUUUAGAGAGGUUAAUCUACUAAACAUAGGUUAAAUAAAUGUCUAACUAUAAAAAUAUGAGAUAUGGUAUAACCAAUGUUGUUACUGCGUAGUGAAUAUUUAUACGAAGUUAACGCAAGUGGAACGGGUCAAUUCAGAGUUAAAAUGGAUUUAAUAUGAAUUAUCUAAAUUUCUAUACAUUUUUAUAUUUAAUUUUUAUACCUUAAAUAGUUAAGCCAGGGGCCUAACUGCUAAGUCAUUCUAUAGUGGAGGGAUGGCGGGUUAAUUCCUUAAAACAUCAAGGGUUUUUUAUAAAUAUGCUCGGCGCGCUACAGGCGGAGGGGUACAGAGAGUUUGAGGCUGUUGGAUCUACAUCCAGUGGUCUGGAUUAGAUCCAGCCCGCCCGUGAAUAGGUACGCUACAACAGCCACAGGAUAGAGGAUCGACGGUCUAUAAUUAACAAAGGUCGAACCAUUCAUACCCAUUCGAUCCUGAUCGGACGGAUCACCGAUCGUCUAGACGAAACGGUCCCCGACUUCAAUCGUGGCCGCCCACGAGGAGAUCAACGGCCGAGGCUUCGUCUUCCACAACCCACCUCAGCCACAGAGGCGGAGUAGCCACCCCGGUGGUGCGCCCACCGGCAACAUGGACGAUCGACCCCAAUUGCUCAAACCCAAGCGCUAAUUGGUGCAAACGGAAGAGAUGAAGAUGCCGAACCAAAUGGAGACCUUCCUACCAGAAAUAGUGGUGACAGCCAUGCUGCCCACGACACGGUGUGGAUUGGUGAGUGCCAUCGUGCAAUUGUCGGCGUCCCGACCACGGCCCACGCCUGACGAGGCCACAUAUAUGUGAGGAGGGAUCCUUCGCUGCCCCAGUACCACCUGUCGAGACUGAAACAGAUGCCGGUGGGCGCACUGGCGGACUUCUCAUGCACACCAUGCAUGCGACAACCCCCGAUGAUCUCGCCAUGGACUUUCUCGGCUCAGUCCCCUUCCACCACGUACGAGCACGCGCUGAUGGUUCGACACAAGGGCCCCGCGUGUGGGAUCUUCAAAUGUAAGCCGCAACAAACUCGACCGCAACAAUUGUGAGCUUCGAAACAAACUCCGACCCCCACUCUGUGACCUCCUCUGGCCGGAUUCUGCCACGACUCUAUAAAGCACGAGGAUUACGACUCCCCACCCAGCCGACCGCCAUGGAGAACGACGACCGCGAGGCCGGGUCCACCAUGCAAUGGCACAGGGCGCAACUCCUAAUGCGCGUGGGUGGUGACCAGUGUAAGGGAGGGCCCAUUUAGCGGGUUGGUGGUUCGGAUUCGGCCCAGGUAAGGAGGUAGUAUUUUUUCUUUUUCUUUUCUGUUGUAUUUUCCUUUCUUUUACUCAUUUUCUGUUAUAUUAAUUUAUAAAUUGAAUUCAAAUCUAAGUCAUGGUCUCUUUAUUCAAAUCAAAUGCAUCACAUAAAAAUAUUCGCAUGGGUGCAAAGUUUCUUAUACUUCUUUGGUUAAUGCCUCUAAAUAAAAUAUUGAUGAAGGGGUAUUUUCUCACUAAAUAGGAAAUCCUCCAAUUUAAUUUAUUUUUUUGAGUUAUUUUUUUUAAAAGUCUCGAAUAGAUUUGAGUCAUCUAAAUUUGAUACUUAUAUAUCAAUACUUAAAUAAAUAAUUAUAGUGUAUCAUUUGAUGAAAUGAAUAAUCGUUUAGUUGAAUAAAAAACCUUUCUAUUACUUCCUUUCUAAAUUAAUUCUUGGUUUCGAAAUUCAAUCCUCAACAUUCAAAGCUCCAAUUAUAAUUUGGAAUAUUGUAAUUUACUAUUUUAUUUCUUUAUUUAUUUAUUUAUUCUAUUAUUUUUAUUUUUAUUUUUUAUACAAAUUUUGGGCUUUACAAAUCCUACCCCUUACAGAAAUCUCGUCCUCGAGAUUUGUAAGAAAAGGGAUACAGAAUGAUUGGUUUGUAAUUUAGCUUUUAGUCUAUAAUUGGUUUAAGAUUGUAGUGUCUCAUUUUUUGGUCAAUAGUGGGUGAUUGGGAGAGCAUAGGUAUCCGGCUACUCAUUAUGUAGGAUAUAAGCUGGACAGGUCAAGAAUAGCGUGGGGUAAGAAAGUUUACGGUGAGAAAGAACUCCUUGUUGGGUGGUAAUGCUUUUGAUGAUCGAGUUUGACUUCUCUCCUUCCUUGACGAGGUUGAUCUUGUUCUUUUCUGGUCUUGGUCUCAUUGAGUCGGGGUCAAUGUAUAUCAUCAUAGUUGGGGAAUAUGGUUAAGAUAGAUAUGGAUGAGAUAGACUACAUGAUGUAGGUCAAAAGUUUGUUUGAUGUUAGGUGGGGAUAGACAUAUUAUGCAAUUCAUCAUGACUUUAUGGGUUGGGUUGGCUCUUAUGCCCAUGGUUGAGUUGGUCUAAUGUGCGAAGUUAAGUUAAUACCUGGCUAGUAGGGUCUAAUCUCUUCUACCAGUAUCACUAAUCCGUUUAAAUAGAUCACACUAGAUUAGAUCAGGUUCUAGAUUAGAUUGGAUAUGACUAGAAUAGACUAGUUUAGGUUAGAUAGAUCUACCAGGGUAGGAUAUAUAUAUUAUUAGGAUAUGUUAGAAUCUCUGUUAGGUUAAAACAGAGGUGUUAUGCGACUAUCGGAUGGUUAAGGUAGUUGCAGAUGAUCAGGUAGUUGUAUAUGGUCAAGUAAAUCUAGGGCACCAAUUUAGCUUAAAACAUUUUUAUAGGAGUGAGGUCUAAUCUAUUUCAUUAGUACUAACUAAUCUGUUAAAUAACUCACUUUAGAUUGGAUCAUAUUAGAUUAGAUGGGAUCUAGAUUAGAUCGGUAUCACCAUAUUAGACUAGACAAUAUCUAAUUACUUUGGAUUAGAUCAUGGUUGUUACACUAGUGUGGGAUAAAUAUGCUUAUUAGGGCAAGAUGAAUCCAUAAGGAUAAGGUAGAAUAUUUUGACGUUAGUUAGAUCUAUUAGGAUAAGAUAAAAUCUUUUCAAGAUAAGAUGAGUCUACUAAGGUAAUAGAGUAUUUUUUUAAGAUAAGACGGAUCUAUUAAGCUAGAUAUGGAUCUUUUGAGAUGAGAUGGAUCUAUUAAACUAGAUAUAUUUUUAAUAGGGAAUAUUCUAAGUUGUCUAUUUUAUAAAUAUUUUCCCUUAUGUCUAGGUGUAUAUACAAAUGCAUUUGUGGACAUUACUCCACAACCCAUCACACUCAAUCAAAGAUCCAAAUCAGACAAGUAUCAUAAGAACAAACAUUCAAGCAUACAAAUAUCUACUAAAAAUAGUUUUUUUGUUCCUAAGAUUAGGUUAUCUAUUCCUAAAAGUCACUUUAGGCACAGGAUUUCAAAGUGUGAAAUCCAAGUUUGUCUUUAGAAAGAAAAGGUAAGAAUAAUCAGAGUAAAGCAGAAAUAGAUGAGAAAAGAUUAAGAAAAGUUUAGAAAGAAUCAGAGUGGCAAAGGUAAGUAGAGAAUAGUUGUCCAGUUCUAUCUAGGUUUUGUCCUACAGUCAACAUUGCUCUGAUACCACUUCUGUCACACCCAGGUUUCGGGGCACCAAGACCCGGGCGCGAACAUAAUCACCAGGUGUGCUGGGACUAAGUCUUACACAUAUAAUGAAUCAAGGCCCAGGAUCGAAUGUCACAUCUUUACUACAUAACAGGAGUUCUAUACAAAAUAAAUAAAUAAUUACAUUAUAAGGAGACAAAGGUUCAGUAACCCAAAGUUGACUGGGAGACGAUGACCUAGACCUCUCACGAACUCGUCACGACAUCCUCCAUGCGCCUCAUACUGCGGUACCUGUUCUUGACCUGUGGGGGUGUGAGACAACAAGAGUGAGCUCACAUACGUUCAUAGCUCAACAAGUUGUGAGGAAUAAUGUGUAUGAACUCGCCAAAGAUGGGAGUUCAUGUGAAGUGUAAGGCUUACCAAAGAGGAUGGUUAGAGCUGAGCAUUGCUUUUAAAGUUGGUCAAAAUUUUAUUAGCAAUUACUAAGUAUAAGUGAAUACCAACCCAAUUAAGUAGUAGAACAAAAGAAAUAACAACACCUGCGAUGCAAUGCAUAUGACAAAUUGAAUUUAGUUCCAUAUAUUAAUCAUGUGAGGGUCCGAGCUGCUCAUGACCGUGAGCACGGCUAGUAUACCAGUUUUACACUCUGCAGAGGUUGCGCAUCUUUACCCACAAGUCAUGUUACCCAUCUGCCAAGGGAUCGCGACUUCCCAUACACCUCUACCGAGGAGGCGACGCAGGGUAACACUACGAGGCCUUUACAAAGUUCCACUAGCUUCAGAAAACCCGCUAUAGUUUAUAGGAAGCUCCAAUGUAGGGAUCCCUCGCCUGACCCCAUCACAACAAAAUCAACCCAAGGACCUCCCUACACUGACCACUCCCCUACUGCCCUUGCCCCUUUCGGGUAAGGUAGUCAUCCACUAGCUUUCCUAAUUAAUCAGCCAAGGGGUCCCAUUCCUCCCUUGUGGUAGCACUAUUUUCCCGGGUGGUCGCUCCAUGUUCCAAUUAACAUAAUGAUCUUAUCAUGAACAGUACAUAACAAUUGAUAAUAAAAGUAUGAUAAUAAAUAGUGUGUAUCUCUAUACCUAAAACCACAUAUAGCAAUAGCAAGUACUACCAAAGAAUUCAGUAGUAAACAAGGUAUAAAGAUAGUCAAACUAGGGUAACCUAUUGGGUCCCAUCAAAAUUUACCUAUGCAGAUCAUUAUGAUUAAUCAGAACAUGACUGGGUAAAAAGAAGUGAUCAAGGGCACAACUUGCCUGGGACUUGAGAUUCCAGGUACCAGGAUGAUCUUCAGAUUCUCGUGACCUCGUGCUAGUCGUAGCGAUUCAAACAAACAUGGUGAUACAACCACGCCAUUAAGCAACACGUUACAACCCCUAAGUCAUACUACAUCAACUCAAGUACAACCAACAUCAUCACCAACCCAAGUCUUUGAUGGACCAAUUACACGUAGCCGAGCUAAGAAGCUACAACAAGAGGUGCACGCGCUAAUUUAUGAAUUUCAAUUAAACACUAAUGAGAACUUUAUGCUACCUAAGUUGUGUAUGUUGAUAUUACUUAGGUUCACCAAAGAGGAAGGACAAAACAUAUCAAAGGCGAAUCAACAAGAAGAGCUAUGUCCGAGUCAGUCCAGCGCUACAGAACCGUCCAGAAGAAACAGUCAUAUCUUUUGACUCCCAAAAGCUAUGAAGUCCCAUAAGUACUUUUUGGAAAGCUCUUGAAGUCUAGUUUCCAAUGCUUCUAAGGCCGACUUAAUCAAAUCUACCAGAAAGGCAGCCGACCUACUUUAGUGCUGACUGGUCAAAAGGUCAAUAGUCUAUUUGAUGACCAAGUUUUCGUAUUAAAUGCAUCAUUCUACGAAGUUUCAUUAAGCAUGCUAUACAUAGUGACAAAGCCUAUUAAGUCAGCUUUCCAACGCAUCCAGUCCCACAUCAUUUGAAGAUUCAUAGAAGAAGUUAUUGUCAAAAUACUGAAGGCUGCGCAGAAGUCAAACAGACACACGGAAAUCAGCUCUGCAGAUCUCCCGAAGAGGCUCCUUCACAUUAGCACGUGAAAAUACUUUUGUUUCAUGUUUAUACCUUGCUAAGGCUGGAUGUUACUAGUAUAAAUACCCCCCUAUGUCUAUGAUGUAAAGGAGCUUUUGAUAAUCUAAAACAGAACCCCUUUGUUCAGUUGUGUGCUAACAAAUAUUGAGAGUGAUAUCUACCCAUUUGCUCUUGUGAAUUCCUUCACAGGAUUGCAGAAGCGGCGACUUCAUCCGCUCCCAAGUGGUGCUCCUACUCCCUUCAAGGUCUCCUCGAUUGAUUGUAGGCUGUGUUGGUUGGUUCUUUGAGAGUGUGGUUGGGCGAAUCCUCGAUUCAGGUUGCCGGUUAAAGACGGUUGUUGGCUUCGAGUUUUAUUUGUCAGGUUGCACUAGUUAUCGCUGCUUGCAGCAAGUUCACUUGGCUUCUUCGAAGCUAGUUAUCUGAAGAUUUAUCCUACGUCAUGAAGAUCGGGCAUCAUGACGCAUCAUCUGGUAUCAAAGCCUCAGUUGCCACGGUAGGAUUCUUUACCCUUAGCUACAUAUAUUUUGUGUUCGUCCUAUCCACCAAAAAGCCAUAAAAUAUUUUUGCCAUAGCCCUUUGUUUCAAUCUGUUGUUCAAGUGAGUUUUGUUAAGUUUCAGUCCUUAGAGUCUUUGUUUAGUUGCUGGUCACUCUAUCCUUUGUGUUUCCUUUGAGCCUCUUAUAUAUAUAUCUGAAAAUAUCCACAAAAAAGAGUAUCAAAGUGUGAAAUAUCAUAUCAGAUCUCUGUGUUUAGUUCUAUAAAAAAGAGUAUCAAAAAAAGAGAAGAAAGAAAAAUAUCAAAAAAAAGUGUUGAACAAGAUUGUGAAAGAAAAGUAGAACGAUCAGUUUGUUUAUGUGCACAAGUGUUGAAAGUUCAUCAAGUUGUUCAACCAGUUUGCUAUUGUCUUUUGGUGCAAAAUUUUGGUUGGGUCUGAUCGCAACACUUACAUUCCAACCAUACUCCUUGAUUUGCAUCAAAUCUGAAAAUUCUUUGCGCGUGUGUUUGAUCUACUUACAUCACUCGUAUCUUGUGGUCAGCACUAGGCAGUGAACUUCUAGUUGAAUGGUUAUUUAACUUUACAACAACUAGGAUUCAGAUUGCAUUCCUUGUUUACUAUUCCCCACCAAGAUCCACAUAUAAGCCAUCGUAAUCGGUACUUUGGUCUUGUAUUCGCUUAACCAUCACUUCAUUGUUACCACCACACAUUUUUCUUGCAACCCGCAGGGACCUCAUAAGAGCUUUGGUUGGUAAGAGUGGUGAGGUUGUGAGAUUCUAUAUAACUUCAUAUUCCACCUAUAUUUGUUGCCUUGUCGCCACUAAUUUCGCAGGAAGAUGGAUCCCAACGUUGAGAUUGAAGAAUGUGUCACCAUGAUACAAUUCAAUGAGCUCAAACAAAGCAUAGAAGACAAGCAAGAUCUGUUGGCACAAGAUCUUCAGACACUUAUGGCUGAAAUCAGAGGUCAUCGUUGACUCCCUGAUGGGGUAAGAAACCAUGAUGAAGAUGGGGAAGAGGGUGAAGGAAAUUAUUCUAGAAGGGCAAGUGAACAUGGGAGGAGGAAUCAAGGUGUUGCACGUGGUAGAGGAAGAGGACGGAAUCGAAGAAAUGAUGACAAUGAAGAAUCCGAAUUUGGGAAUGAUGAUGAUCAGUCCCAACGUCGCUAUGGUCGUUGUCAUCAUAGAGGUGUCAACCAAGAAGAGAGAUUUGGGAAACUUAAGUUUACCAUGCCAAAAUUUGAUGGUAGAUCUGAUCCUGAAGAUUAUUUCACAUGGGAAUUGAAGGUGGAGAAAAUCUUCCGCCUACAUAAUUAUUCAGAGGAAAAGAAACUUGCAAUGGCAUCUCUUGAGUUUGAAGGAUAUGCUCUUGGUGGGAGCAACUUAUUCGUGACCGUGAAGAAGAUGGAGAGGACCCUAUUAUUACUUGGCAAGAGAUGAAGCGAGAAAUGAGAAUUUGUUUUGUGUCGAAGCAUUAUCGGCGUGAUCUUUUUAAUAAAUUGCAGAAUUUAAGGCAAGGAAGUUUCUCUUGAGGAGUAUUAUAAGGAGAUGGAGAAGGCCAUGAUUAGAGCCAAUGUGUAUGAAGACGAAGAGCAAACCAUUGUACGUUUUAUGGCUGGGUUACACCGCAACAUUCAGCGUAUUGUUGAGUUUCAGCCGUACCAAAGUCUUAUUGAUUUGGUACAUCAAGCCACCAAAGCUGAACGCCAGCUGCAACAAGAUGCUAAGAGCACCAAGCCCUUGUCAUAUGGUGCACGAACCAUGACUGGAGGAAGCAAAUCAAUCUCAAGGUUUACUAUUGCAUCCUCAGCGACAAAAGGUUCAACUGGAGGCUUGCGAUCCAAUAUUCAAGGCAAUUCUAGUGGAAAGAACGAUGCUGCUUCAAACACGAGUUAUAAACCAGCAGCAUCCACUUCAACAUCAGUAGGUUCAACAACCAAGAGUAGUGGUAUUCAGUGCUUCAAGUGUGGAGGUCGUGGUCAUGUCAUAAAGGAGUGUCCAAAUAAUCGUGUGAUCCUUGUGAAUGAUGAUGGAGAAUAUACAUCAGCUAGUGAAGAUGAAGCUGAAGCAGAAAAUGUAGAAGACACUCAUAAAAUUGAGGAACACACUGGAUGUGAAUUUGAGCAUGGUAUUACUCUUGUGGUUACACAAAUCUUGAGUGUUCAAAUGAAAGAAGUUGAAAUUGGACAGCGACAUAAUCUUUUUCAAACGCGAGCAAAGGUGCAAGACAAAGUAGUAAAGGUGACCAUUGAUGGAGGGAGCUACCAUAAUCUUGCAAGUCAUGAGAUGGUCGAAAAGCUUGGUUUGAAGUUGCAGCGACACCCUCAUCCAUAUCAUGUCCAAUGGUUGAAUGAAUCGGGAGAUAUCAAGAUUGGUUAUAAGGUGAAAGUUCCAUUCAAGAUUGGAGAGUAUGUUGACACAGUGGAGUGCGAUGUUGCCCCUAUGUCUAUGUGUCACAUGCUGCUAGGAAGACCUUGGCAAUAUGACCGAUAUUCUCAGCAUUGUGGAAGAACAAAUCAAUACACACUAGAUCUGAAAGGGAGAAAGUUUGUACUCAAGCCUAUUACCCCUCAACAAAUCAUGGCUGAGAAUUUACAAAAGAAGACUGAAAUUAGUGCAGCAAGUAGAGGAGGAGAAGAGCAAAAGAAAUUGAGUGCCAUCCACAAUUCGGUGAGCGAGUGCUACAAGCCAAAUUCAAGAGAUAAAAGGAAGGAAGAGGGAGAACAUCUAGUUAUGCUAGCCACAAAAUCUGAACUGAGAGAAGUGAGGAACAACCCAUAUCAAGUGCUCUUUGUACUUGUGAACAAAGAUGUUUUGAUUUCUCCUAAUGACAUAACAUCUCUUCCUAGUGUUGUAGCUGAUCUUUUGCAGGACUUUGAAGACGUGUUUCCACAAGAAACACCGGCUGGACUGCCUCCAAUUCGAGGGAUUGAGCAUCAAAUCAAUCUUUUUCCAGGGGCUGCACUUCCUAACCGUCCACCAUAUCGAACCAAUCCUGAAUAAACUAAGGAAAUACAAAGGCAAGUACAAGAACUUCUUGAUAAAGGUUUUGUUCGUGACAGUUUAAGCCCUUGUGCUGUUCCUAUGAUUUUAGUACCUAAGAAAGAUGGAUCUUGGAGGAUGUGUGUUGAUUGUAGAGCUAUAAAUAAUAUUACCAUUCGCUAUCGUCAUCCUAUUCCAUGGCUAGAAGACAUGCUUGAUGAAUUAAGUGGUUCCACAAUUUUUACUAAAAUUGAUUUGAGAAGUGGAUACCAUCAAAUAAGAAUGAAAACUGGAGAUGAAUGGAAGACUACAUUUAAAACAAAAUUUGGGUUGUAUGAAUGGUUAGUGAUGCCUUUUGGGUUGACUAAUGCUCCUAGUACUUUUAUGAUAUUAAUGAACCAUGGAUUAAGAACUUUCAUUGGAAAAUUUGUUGUUGUCUACUUCGAUGAUAUUCUAAUUUACAGCAAGUCUUUUGAUGAACAUGUGAAACACAUUUGGCAAGUUUUAGAUGAGCUUAGAAAGGAGAAAUUAUUUGCUAAUCUUGAGAAGUGCAGUUUUUGCACAGACCAUGUUGUGUUUCUUGGCUUUGUUGUUUCAGCAAAAGGAAUAGAGGUGGAUGAAUCCAAGGUGAAAGCAAUCAAGGAUUGGCCAGCUCCAACGAAUGUAAGUCAAGUAAGAAGUUUUCUUGGUCUUGCUGGUUUUUAUAGAAGAUUUGUGCGAGAUUUCAGUACCAUCGCUUCCCCUUUAAAUGAUUUGACAAAGAAAAGUGUUGAAUUUAAAUGGGGAAACUCACAAGAAGAUGCUUUUUAAGAAUUGAAGAAACGUUUGACUGAAGCACCUGUACUUAUUCUUCCUGAUUUCACUAAAAGUUUUGAAGUAGAAUGUGAUGCUAGUGGGAUUGGGAUAGGAGGAGUUUUAAUGCAACAAGGAAAACCUAUAGCAUAUUUUAGUGAAAAAUUGGGAGGUGCUCAAUUAAAUUAUUCUGUGUAUGAUAAAGAAUUGUAUGCUUUGGUCCGAACGCUUGAAACAUGGCCAAAAGAGUUUGUUAUUCAUUCCGAUCAUGAAGCUUUGAAGUAUUUGAAAGGGCAAGCCAAACUGAACCGUUGCCAUGCCAAAUGGGUCGAGUUUAUUGAAACAUUUCCAUACAUUGUGAAAUAUAAGAAAGGUAAGGACAAUGUAGUCGCUGAUGCCUUGUCUCGAAGAAAUGUGUUGUUGAAUCAACUAGAGGUAAAAGUUUUGGGUCUUGAAAAUUUGAAAGAAAUGUAUAAUGAUGAUCCUGAAUUUUCAGAACCAUACAAUCAUUGUAAAGAUGGAAAAGGUUGGGAAAAAUAUCAUAUACAUGAUGGAUUUUUGUUUAGAGCUAACAAACUUUGUGUAUCAAAUUCUUCGGUUAGAUUACUUUUAUUGCAAGAGUCACAUGGAGGAGGUCUAACAGGUCAUUUUGGACAAAAGAAGACUUAUGAACUGCUGAGUGAUCAUUUCUAUUGGCCCAAGAUGAGGAGAGACGUCAUUAGAUUUGUGGAGCGUUGUGUCACCUGUCACAAAGCUAAGUCAAAAUUGAACCCUCAUGGUUUAUAUACUCCUUUACCCGCUCCUAAAAUUCCUUGGGAAGACAUAAGCAUGGAUUUUAUUUUAGGGCUGCCGAUGACUCAAAAAAAGAGAGAUUCUAUUUUUGUUGUGGUUGAUAGAUUUUCAAAAAUGGCUCAUUUUAUUCCAUGCAACAAGAGCGACGAUGCUUCACAUGUUGCCAAUUUGUUUUUCAGAGAAAUCUUGAGGCUACAUGGAGUGCCCAAGACCAUCGUAUCUGACCGUGAUAUGAAGUUUGUGAGCUAUUUUUGGAAAACAUUAUGGGCAAAGCUUGGGACUAAACUUUUGUUCUCCACCACAUGCCACCCCCGAACUGAUGGACAAACUGAAGUGGUAAAUCGUACAUUGUCAAUGCUGUUGCGAACAAUGAUAAAGAAGAACUUGAAGGAUUGGGAGGAAUGUUUGCCACACAUGGAGUUUGCUUAUAAUAGGGAAAGAACCAAUAUGGAAGCUUCCAAGCGUGUUGCAUACAUUAAAAAGAUACAUGAGAAGACUAAGGAAACAAUUGAGCUCAAAGCAGUGCGCAAGGCUGCAAGCAUGAACAAGCAUAGGAAGAAAGUGUUAUUUGAACCGGGGGACUUAGUUUGGAUUCACUUGCGCAAGGAGCGUUUUCCUGAGUAGCGCAAAUCCAAAUUGAUGCCACGAGGGGAUGGUCUAUUUCGUGUUCUUGCCAAGAUCAAUGAUAAUGCAUACAAGAUAGAUCUUCCACCAAGCUAUGGCGUGAGCAACAUAUUCAAUGUUGCUGACCUCUUACCAUAUACAAGUGAAGACACUUCAGAGUCGAGGACGACUCCUUUUCAAGGGGAGGAGGAUGAUACGACCACGCCAUUAAGCAACACGUUACAACCCCCAAGUCAUACUACAUCAACUCAAGUACAACAAACAUCAUCACCAACCCGAGUCUUUGAUGGACCAAUUACACGUAGCCGAGAUAAGAAGCUACAACAAGAGGUGCACGUGCUACUUUAUGAAUUUUAAUUAAACACUAAUGAGAACUUUAUGCUACCUAAGUCGUGUAUAUUGAUAUUACUUAGGUUCACCAAAGAGGAAGGACAAAACAUGUCAAAGGCGAAUCAGCAAGAAGAGCUAUGUCCGAGUCAGUCCAGCGCUACAGAACCAUCCAGAAGAAACAGUCAUAUCUUUUGAUUCCCAAAAGCUAUGAAGGACCAUAAGUACUUUUUGGAAAUCUCUUGAAGUCUAGUUUCCAAUGCUUUUAAGGCCGACUUAAUCAAAUCUACCAGAAAGGCAGCCGACCUACUUUAGUGCUGACUGGUCAAAAGGUCAACAGUCGGUUUGAUAACCAAGUUUUCAUAUUAAACUGCAUCAUUCUACGAAGUUUCAUUAAGCAUGCUAUACAUGGUGAGAAAGCUUAUCAAGUCAGCUUUCCAACACAUCCAGCCCCACGUCAUUUGAAGAUUCCUAGAAGAAGUUAUUGUCAAAAUACUGAAGGCUGCGCAGAAGUCAAACAGACACACGGAAAUCAACUCUGCAGAUCUCCCGAAGAGGCUCCUUCACAUUAGCACGUGAAAAUACUUUUGUUUCAUGUUUUACCUUGCUAAGGCUGGUUGUUACUAGUAUAAAUACCUCCUAUGUCUAUGAUGUAAAGCAGCUUUUGAUAAUCUAAAACAGAACCCCUUUGUUCAGCUGUGUGCUAACAAAUAUUGAGAGUGAUCUCUACCCCUUUGCUCUUGUGAAUUCCUUCACGGGAUUGCAGAAGCGGCGGCUUCAUCCACUCCCAAGUGGUGCUUCUACUCCCUUCGAGGUCUCCUCGAUUGAUUGUAGGUUGUGUUGGUUGGUUCUUUGAGAGUGUGGUUGGGCGAAUCCUCGAUUCAGGUUGCCGGUUAAAGACGGUGGUUGGUUUCGAGUUUUAUUUGUCAGGUUGCACUAGUUAUCGCUGCUUGCAGCAAGUUAUCUUAGCUUCUUCGAAGCUAGUUAUCUGAAGAUUUAUCCUACGUCGUGAAGAUCGGGCAUUGUGACGCAUCACAUGGUAUAGGUAAAAUUAACAUCAUACCAAACAUGAGUACAAACUAUAUAAUAAUAAUGUACGCGUUGCUACGAGAUCGUUGGUUCGAGAAUCACUACAAUCGGAGUCAUGGUUGAAAAGGUAUGGUUUUCAGAAGACCCAUGCAGUUUAAGGAGUUAAAACUAGACCUUAUGUUGAUUUAAUAGAUCAUGUGAGAAAAUAAUCUAAAUAAAUAAUUAAUUCAACUUUUAAGUUAAAUUAUAAUAUAAUUAGGGAUCAUAUUUUAUCCAAACUAUAAUUAUAAACAGAUUAACUUUGAUUUAGAGAGGUUAAUAUACUAAACAUAGGUUAAAUAAAUAUCUAACUAUAAAAAUAUGAGAUAUGAUAUAACCAAUGCUAUUACAGCAUAGUGAAUAUUUAUACAAAGUUAGGCAAGUGGAACGGGUCAAUUCAGAGUUAAAAUGGAUUUAAUAUGAAUUAUCUAAAUUUCUAUACAUUUUUAUAUUUAAUUUUUAUACAUUAAAUAGUUUCCAGGACUAAACUGCAAAAGCCAGGGGCCUAACUGCUAAGUCAUUCUAUAGUGGAGGGAUGGCGGGUUAAUUCCUUAAAACAUCAAGGGCUUUUUAUAAAUCUGCUCGGCGCGCUACAGGCGGAGGGGUACAGAGACUUUCAGGCCGUUGGAUCUACAUCCAGUGGUCUGGAUUAGAUCCAGCCCCCCGUGAAUAGGUACGCUACAACAGCCACAGGAUCGAGGAUCGACGGUCUGUAACUAACAAAGGUCGAACCAUUGAUACCCAUUCGAUCCUGAUCGGACGGAUCAUCGAUCGUCUGGACGAAACGGUCCCCGACUUCAAUCGUGGCCGCUCACGAGCUGAUCAACGGCCGAGGCUUCGUCUUCCACAACCCACCUCAGCCACGGCGGCGGAGUCACCACCCCGGCGGUGCGCCCACCGGCAACAUGGCCGAUCGACCUCAUUUGCCCAAACCCAAGCGCUAAUUGGUGCAAACGGAAGAGACAGAGAUGCAGAACCAAAUGGAGACCUUCCUACCUGAAAUAGUGGUGACAGCCGUGCUGCCGACGACACGGUGUGGAUUGGUGAGCGCCGUCGUGCAAUUGUCGGCGUCCCGACCACGGCCCACGCCUGACGAGGCCACAUAUAUGUGCGGAGGGAUCCUUCGCUGCCCCAGUACCACCUGUCGAGGCUGGAGGAUCGCACAUGGGCAGAUCGAUGGCGGCAGCGGCAAUCUCUUCUCCCCGCACCCCCCAUCCAUGUGCCUACGGCACCAAGUUGUACACGGCUUCGGCUGGGUGGGGAGUCAUAAUCCUCGUGCUUUAUAGAGUCGCGGCGGAAUCCGGCCAGAGGAGAUCACGGAGUGGGGGUCGGAGUUUCUUUCGAAGCUCACGAUUGUUGCGGUCGAGUUUGUUGCGGCUUACAGUUGAAGAUCCCACACGCGGGGCCCUUGUGUCGAACCAUCAGUGCGUGCUCGUACGUGGUGGAAGGGGACUGAGCCGAGAAAGUUCGUGGCGAGAUCAUCGGGGGUUGUCGCAUGCACGGUGCGCAUGAGAAGUCCGCCAGUGCGCCCACCGGCAUCUGUUUCAGUCCGUCCCAAGGAGGACGACGACCGCUAGGCCGGGUCCACCGUGCAGUGGCACAGGGUGCAACUCCUAAUGCGCGUGGGUGGCGACCAGUGUAGGGGAGGGCCCAUUUAGCGGGUUGGUGGUUCGGAU